rnacentral:rRNA from 1 species
GAAUACCAAGGCGCUUGAGAGAACUCGGGUGAAGGAACUAGGCAAAAUGGUGCCGUAACUUCGGGAGAAGGCACGCUGACACGUAGGUGAAGUGAUUUACUCAUGGAGCUGAAGUCAGUCGAAGAUACCAGCUGGCUGCAACUGUUUAUUAAAAACACAGCACUGUGCAAACACGAAAGUGGACGUAUACGGUGUGACGCCUGCCCGGUGCCGGAAGGUUAAUUGAUGGGGUCAGCGCAAGCGAAGCUCCUGAUCGAAGCCCCGGUAAACGGCGGCCGUAACUAUAACGGUCCUAAGGUAGCGAAAUUCCUUGUCGGGUAAGUUCCGACCUGCACGAAUGGCGUAAUGAUGGCCAGGCUGUCUCCACCCGAGACUCAGUGAAAUUGAACUCGCUGUGAAGAUGCAGUGUACCCGCGGCAAGACGGAAAGACCCCGUGAACCUUUACUAUAGCUUGACACUGAACAUUGAGCCUUGAUGUGUAGGAUAGGUGGGAGGCUUUGAAGUGUGGACGCCAGUCUGCAUGGAGCCGACCUUGAAAUACCACCCUUUAAUGUUUGAUGUUCUAACGUGGACCCGUGAUCCGGGUUGCGGACAGUGUCUGGUGGGUAGUUUGACUGGGGCGGUCUCCUCCUAAAGAGUAACGGAGGAGCACGAAGGUUGGCUAAUCCUGGUCGGACAUCAGGAGGUUAGUGCAAUGGCAUAAGCCAGCUUGACUGCGAGCGUGACGGCGCGAGCAGGUGCGAAAGCAGGUCAUAGUGAUCCGGUGGUUCUGAAUGGAAGGGCCAUCGCUCAACGGAUAAAAGGUACUCCGGGGAUAACAGGCUGAUACCGCCCAAGAGUUCAUAUCGACGGCGGUGUUUGGCACCUCGAUGUCGGCUCAUCACAUCCUGGGGCUGAAGUAGGUCCCAAGGGUAUGGCUGUUCGCCAUUUAAAGUGGUACGCGAGCUGGGUUUAGAACGUCGUGAGACAGUUCGGUCCCUAUCUGCCGUGGGCGCUGGAGAACUGAGGGGGGCUGCUCCUAGUACGAGAGGACCGGAGUGGACGCAUCACUGGUGUUCGGGUUGUCAUGCCAAUGGCACUGCCCGGUAGCUAAAUGCGGAAGAGAUAAGUGCUGAAAGCAUCUAAGCACGAAACUUGCCCCGAGAUGAGUUCUCCCUGAGACUUUAAGUCUCCUGAAGGAACGUUGAAGACGACGACGUUGAUAGGCCGGGUGUGUAAGCGCAGCGAUGCGUUGAGCUAACCGGUACUAAUGAACCGUGAGGCUUAACCUUACA